rnacentral:rRNA from 1 species
GACGAACGCUGGCGGCGUGCCUAACACAUGCAAGUCGAACGGACGAGGAGGAGCUUGCUUCUCCAAGUCAGUGGCGGACGGGUGAGUAACGCGUGAGUAACCUGCCCUUCAGAGGGGGAUAACGUCUGGAAACGGACGCUAAUACCGCAUGACAUAUUUCCAUCGCAUGGUGGAGAUAUCAAAGGAGCAAUCCGCUGAAGGAUGGACUCGCGUCCGAUUAGAUAGUUGGCGGGGUAACGGCCCACCAAGUCGACGAUCGGUAGCCGGACUGAGAGGUUGAACGGCCACAUUGGGACUGAGACACGGCCCAGACUCCUACGGGAGGCAGCAGUGGGGGAUAUUGCACAAUGGGCGAAAGCCUGAUGCAGCAACGCCGCGUGAGGGAAGACGGUUUUCGGAUUGUAAACCUCUGUUCUAAGUGACGAACAAAUGACGGUAGCUUAGGAGAAAGCCCCGGCUAACUACGUGCCAGCAGCCGCGGUAAUACGUAGGGGGCAAGCGUUGUCCGGAAUUACUGGGUGUAAAGGGAGCGCAGGCGGAGAAGCAAGUCAGUGGUGAAAACGAUGGGCUUAACUCAUCGACUGCCAUUGAAACUGUUUCCCUUGAGUGAAGUAGAGGCAGGCGGAAUUCCGAGUGUAGCGGUGAAAUGCGUAGAUAUUCGGAGGAACACCAGUGGCGAAGGCGGCCUGCUGGGCUUUAACUGACGCUGAGGCUCGAAAGUGUGGGGAGCAAACAGGAUUAGAUACCCUGGUAGUCCACACUGUAAA